ACAGUUGCUGGAAGGAGACGAAACAGAGUAAGUCACAGCCCAACGUUAACGCAACGCACAUGCAAUGUUUGUACCCUUUUCACACUAUGCCUACUGUACUGGCUUGGAUAUUUUCCUUUCAUAUUGUCUUCUCCAGCAUGAGUCCUGCAACUCUAUGAUGGCGCUGGAAGAGAUGGCUUCCGUUUUACAGGCACCUAACCAAUUGUGGUAUUGUGUUUUUUGCGUUAUUUGUAACUUAUUUUGUACAUAAUGUUACUGCCACCGUUUCUUCCUCACUACUGUACUUUGUUUCUCCUUAAUUAUUUGUUUAUAUUUUUUGUUUGUUUAAGUUCAAUUUUUCUAUUAUGUUUUAUUUCUUGUUAAACAUUUUUUUACUUCAGUUUAUUUUAGUACAUUUUUCUUAACUGCAUUGUUGGUUGAGGGCUUGUAAGUAAGCAUUUCACUGUAAGACUACACCUUUUUGUAUUCGGUGAAUGUGACAAAUUACAUUUUGAUUUGAACAAUGGUGGAUGCGUCGCCAGACCAAUGCAGUGAAAUAAUUCUGACGUUUUAAGAUUUUUGAUAAAGUGCAUAAUUAUAUUUUUCAAUAUAUUGGAUACAUUUUUGUGUGUUUUUGUCUUCCAGAGGAAGGCUUGCUGUACCUUGCUCAUCAUUUCGGAGACUGACUUGUACCAAAGGGCUCAGCAGAUGGGAACGCCUACGACUGUCAGAGAUUCAGAUCACGAUACAGGGAUAAGAACCCACAAACAUACAGAAGGAAAGAAGAUGCAAGUAAGCAUUUCAUUGGCUGGUGUAUACCAUGUGUAUCCUGUAGAACUUGAAAAUAAAACUUGAAAAAUAUAUCAGUAUCGCUUGAUACUGUUUUGACCUCAAUAUUCUUUGAUUUAGGUUUGAUAUCGAUAUGAUCAAGACAUAUCACGCUAUUGGUUUAUCCUUCCUGUUAACCUAUGCUAUUAUGUAAAAAAAAAGCAUAAAUGACUGUUCCUGCAUGCACAAAAUCCUUUCGCAGAUGUUCACAUGCUCUCAACUUAAUAUACUUAACGUGAGCAUUUGUCUCCAAUAAAAAAAAUGCUUGGACAUGUGGUGCGGCAGGUAGCCUAGUGGAUAGUGUUGGGCCAGUAACCGAAAGGUCGCUGGUUAGAAUACCCAAGCUGACAAGGUGAAGUCUGUCUGUGCCCUUGAGCAAGGCUCCAGGGGCGCCGUACUACCAUGGCUGACUCUGUAAAACACAUUUUACUGCAUCUGUGACAAUACAUUUGUUUUUUUCUGGUUUCAGCAAUUUAGUUGAUUUGAUAAUGUGAAACCAACCGGACCAAAUGUAAAUGAAAUACUACAGCUCAGAACUGUGUGUGAAAUGCCCUUACUUGCCUGCUGAUAGAUCAUUGACAGAGGAUGGGUUUCCCAUUGCACUGUUACAAUAUUUUUUAUUAACCAAUGUGUUAUUAAAAAAAUGUAACUGAUAGAGGCCCAUGAUUAACAUUUUUGAUGUGUGCUUGCAUGACCUGCUGCCCAUCUGCUCUGAUUUGAACUUCAAUGGAAUAGGUUCUGUUGUUGGAGAUCCAUUUGAUGUUUUGAUUGCUCCAGAUUUAUUUUCCUCCUUGGAUUAUUUGUUACUUGAAUCGAAUGUGAAGAAAUCAAUAGAGAACGCUCUAUUCAAGCCAACACACACAAACUGGAGCAUAAGAUUUGAGCAGCAAUUAGAGAGAGAAAAUGCCUUGCAGACAUAUGGGCUGUGGGGGGACCCCCCCCUCUCUCUCUGCACACUCCUGCGGACAGACUUAACUUCCUGUAGAACUGUGAAACAAACUGACAAGGUGAUGGCUGGUUUAAAUACAAACACUAGUGUUUCUCUUUUUUUAAAGCCUUGAAAUGAAUUUUUGAAUAUACUUUUGAGAUACUGCUCUUUCCCAUAUUAUGCUUUGAUAAAUAUUUAGAAGAACCAACUCAAGGCCUUUAAGGAUAGACAUCUGAGCCAGUUUUUAUAACUUUUAUAGUUAGUACCUGUAUAUACCAUACAUUUUUAUUACAUGGGCUAGAUGGAAUUAUGUAGCUAAUGUAAUUAUAUAAUUGAAUGUACCCUGUGGAUUUGCUUGUAGCUUGGUGGAUUGCAAAUUUAUUGCACAAAUGAAUCUGUAUUUAUUCAAAUUAAACAAAUAUCAAAUGUUUCUUUAUAAUCAC